ensembl:lncRNA
AUGCUUAAACCGUACAAUCAGAGCACUCAAGUUCAAGAUGUUAACUGUCAAGAUGGUCGUGUCGCAAAUUCGGCAUCGCGAUUGGUUCAUCACGAUCGAUCUGAAGGACGCAUAUUUUCAUAUAGAAAUUUUGCCACAACACAGGACAUUCCUGAGGUUCGCUCUUGGGGGCGAAGCAUACCAGUUUCGGGUUCUUCCUUUCGGCCUAGCUUUAUCACCCCGCACGUACACAAAAUGCAUGGAUGCAGCGCUGGCUCUAUUACGACUCCGGGGCAUUCGCAUUUUGAAUUAUAUCGACGAUUGGCUGAUACUAGCGCAAUCGCAAGAGGUGGCGCUACCACACAGGGACAUCGUGUUAGCUCAUCUAGUUUCUCUGGGGCUGAGACUCAACACGAGAAGAGUGUUCUCUGUCCGGCCCAGAGAAUGACUUAUCUCAGGAUCGUUUGGGAUUCGAUCACGAUGCGGGCACAACUGUCUCCCGCUCGGAUCGAGACCAUUCGGCAGACCAUGAGCAAGGUCAGGCUAGGCCAGGAUCGGACUGUUCGUCAGUAUCAAAAGAUGUUAGGUUUCAUGGCUUUAGCAUCCACGGUGAUUCCUUUGGGGCUGUUGCACAUGAGACCGUUUCAGUUGUGGCUAAAAGCCAGAGGAUUUCAUCCAAGAGCCAAUCCUCAAAGGCAAAUAAAAGUGACGCGCCGCGGGCUUCGUACACUAUCUCUGUGGCUCAGACCCCGGUUCCUUGCCUUGGGUCCCACUCUAGGGGCACCAUGUUGUCGCAGACUGCUAACGACUGAUGGGCUGGGGAGCAGUCUUGGAAGGCCACCCAGCUCAAGGGGAAUGGGGGGGGGGGGUCAUCAGCUCGAUUGGCACAUCAAUUGCCUCGAGCUGAUGGCCGUAUUUCUGGCUCUGAAAUGUUUCCUCCAUCAUUUGAGAGUCUGUCAUGUCCUAGUAUGGGUGGACAACACAGCAACAGUCUCUUAUAUAAAUCACCAGGGGGGUCUGCGCUCAUGCAAUCUGAACAAGAUAGCGAGGCAGAUUUUUCUUUGGUCCCAGGACAAGCUCCUGUCACUCAGGGCAGUUUACAUUCGGGGCGUUUGA